GUCUGUGUAGAUUAAAUUAAAAAUUGUUAGGCUGUUAACCUUAAGAUGAGGCUGUAAGUUUCCAUAGAUG
rnacentral:tRNA from 1 species